UGGGGAACCUGCCCCAUAGUCUGGGAUACCACUUGGAAACAGGUGCUAAUACCGGAUAAGAAAGCAGAUCGCAUGAUCAGCUUUUAAAAGGCGGCGUAAGCUGUCGCUAUUGGAUGGCCCCGCGGUGCAUUAGCUAGUUGGUAAGGUAAAGGCUUACCAAGGCGAUGAUGCAUAGCCUAGUUGAGAGACUGAUCGGCCACAUUGGGACUGAGACACGGCCCAAACUCCUACGGGAGGCAGCAGUC
rnacentral:rRNA from 1 species